GCAGUUACUCAAUAGUGCAUCGAUGUUACAAUUGGAGUGAUUGCGAUAAUGCUUGAAUUGAAUCAUUGAUACUAUUAUAAUUAAGUGUACUCUAUAGGGUAAACAACGCAAUAACUAUAUAAAGAACUAAUUAAAAGCGUUAAUACUGAGUAAAUAUUAGAACGAAAACGAAACGAUAUUUGGAAGGAUGAAGAGCUUUUAUGCAAAUGCAAAGGCAAACUUGUUCAGUAUGCAUCACUGGGAAAAAUAUUAUAUGACGGGUCGUAAAUAUUUUAUGAUGCCCUGAAGUUAAUCGUAUGUCGUUUUCACGAUACCUUCGUAAACGUGAUGAAGCCGGUGUAAAUCACGAUGAAAGCAAAUUCAGCAUAGGUUAUAUUGUUCAAAAUAAAGUUUUCCCUAUGGUGCAAAAGAGGUACGAAAGCUGGCAUUUGAUCUGAUAACUAAGUGCAUCAUAAAGCGACCUGUUUCUUGGUAUGAGAAUCAGAUGGCUGGUGAGGAAUGGUUCCAUUCAUUCAUGUAUAGAAACCCGUCCCUCUUUGUACGCGUAGCACAGGCUAAUAAAACAAAUGUGAAAGUUUUUUUUGAUGACUUGUAAACUGUUUAUGAUAGACAUGUAUAUGAGCACCAGGUUGUGGCAAAAUGUGGCAUUCGGCAUGUUUCAGCUGUUACUUCAGCUGAACGUGGCUCAUUUUGUUUGUGCAGUUAAUGCUUUGGGUAACGCGAUUCUUUUUUUUUAUAUUUCCGCGCCAGCAAAGACACAGGCUGUGUUUACAAAUGAGACUGGUACUGUCCAGGUAUAGCCACGUGGUUGAAUUAGCUAAGGCAGCUUCACAAAAGCAUGGAGUUUUCUUCAAGACCAUAAACCAAAUACUCCGCAACAGCUUCAAAUCCUCUAGAAGGCGUAGAUGCGUUCAUCUUUGGAGUAUUACUUACACAUUUGAAGCUCGGCUCUCGAAUAUACCCUGAGGAUGCUCGACUCAAUACAGAAGAGAAAUGCGACUUACAGGCGAUCCAGAGUUGACCAGAAACCUGGAUAGGUCAGAGUAUAGAAUACUCUGUUCUACCAAUACUACUAUGGCAGAUGCUCUUCCGAACUAUCCCAAAAUAACACCAUCUAGAGCAGUAUUUGCGAGACCUACUCGACACGCAGACGUAGCUCAUGAACACCGAGUUCGCCUGCAGACGCCCAGAACGUCAAUUUAUCGGGACUCCUUUCUUUAGUGAAGUGCAAGCCUUUGAAUAUUUUGAGAAAUUUCCUAGUGCUCUCUAAUACAAAAGAUCUUACAAAUGCUGGACAAUCAUCUAUCCUAUGUUCAUGUCAAGCUAGUGCAAAGAAAAUGGCAUCACUCUGUUGUCAUUUUCUCCGCACUAUUCAAAAAUUCCGUAAAUACUGCUUGUGACGGAAGGAUACGAUGUUAUCCUGGCAAGACCAUGUCUAUUUACGACAUACCAGGUAUUAUUAAAAUUGCUAUGCAUCAGUCACAAGCGAAUUUUCAAACAGGUUUCAGUACAACUUUGACUUUUCACCAUUUUUUGUAACGGAUAGACCAAACUCGGAUUCAAAGGUAAACAUUCCAACAGCCAUGGCAUCAAUAAUCAAAUGUUGCCAGUUUGAAAUGAUUUGGGUAUCUUUGAGUCCAAUUAUACAUUUUACUUUUUCACCUGAAAUAGUACAGGUUCAGUGGAUUGUUUCAAACAUGAAGAAAAAGAAAGGAGUUUGAUGACUAAACAGGUAAAGAAAAAUCUAACUGAACUAAAAGAAAAUAAUAAAGGAAAAGAAAAAACCAACACCCAGGAAAGAAAGAUUUCACAAUCGUCAUCCGAUGAAGAAGACUAGUUCGUGUAUGCGUAUAUUCUGAAAGUAAGGUUGGCGAAAAAUGGAUCAAGUGCCAUGGAAUAUGUGGACUUUGGUCUCACGUAGAGUGCACAGGUAAUAGUUACCAUUACAUUUUAUCGCAACUGUGAUGAUGAAUGUAACUAGAUCUCAGUUUGGAAAUAUUAUUAUUUUACUAUAUAUUAUUAACUAUUAUUAUUUUAGUUUAUUAUCAUUGUUAUAAGUUAUAGUGAAACUUUACAAUCACCUACAGUAAAUUUAUUUAACGUUUUGACUGAUUCGAGGAAGUUGUUACAGUACCUUAUUAAUUAUCAGAUCUCAGAUUUUAGUUUAGGUACUUGUUAUAUAAAUGUUAACUUUUUUAGAAGAAGUUGAUAUUUUGUUAUAGUUGAUAUUUUUAGCAAUAAAAAUAACUAUUUU